rnacentral:rRNA from 1 species
GACGAACGCUGGCGGCGUGCUUAACACAUGCAAGUCGAACGGAAAGGCCCUGCUUUUGUGGGGUGCUCGAGUGGCGAACGGGUGAGUAACACGUGAGUAACCUGCCCUUGACUUUGGGAUAACUUCAGGAAACUGGGGCUAAUACCGGAUAGGAGCUCCUGCUGCAUGGUGGGGGUUGGAAAGUUUCGGCGGUUGGGGAUGGACUCGCGGCUUAUCAGCUUGUUGGUGGGGUAGUGGCUUACCAAGGCUUUGACGGGUAGCCGGCCUGAGAGGGUGACCGGCCACAUUGGGACUGAGAUACGGCCCAGACUCCUACGUGAGGCAACAGUGGAGAAUAUUGCACAAUGGGCGGAAGCCUGAUGCAGCAACGCCGCGUGCAGGAUGACGUCCUUCGGGUUGUAAACCGCUUUCGCCUGUGACGAAGCGUGAGUGACGGUAAUGGGUAAAGAAGCACCGGCUAACUACGUG